rnacentral:lncRNA from 1 species
AUGAAUCCAUUUUGUUGUUUUUUUUUGUUUUGUUUUUUAGCAGAGCCUGAUGACUCAGAAUGUGUUGAAUCUCUCACCUAUUCAACAAAAAUCCCUCUCUGUAUGAAAAUGUGGGCGGGAUGGAUGAAUGAAGAAAAACAACACAGGCUUGAGAGAGAAAAGACUCAAGCAACAGAAGGUGGUGGAGGGAUGAAUCAAGCUUCCUACAACAUAUGGCAAGGACCGACGGAGCCUGAAGUGGACCAGACCACCAAUUUACGAUCCAGUAAGCGGAGAAAAUUACAUGAUGCUGUACAUCUGAGAAGCAUGAAAACACAAAACAGAUCAGCACACUCCUCCUACCAUUCAACACUAAUUACAAAUGUGGGCCUUUGGGCUAACCCGAAGACCUCAACACCAAAAUUAGGCUCUCAUUACACAUUUAACAAUUGAACAAAGCCUGUGAUUAUGAAUAAUUAAUAAAUUAAUCAUGCCUUUACCAUGCAAAAAUGUUUUCCUUUUAUAAAUGUUCCAAUAAACUACCUUUUGGCACUUUAAAUACUGUAUACGCAGCUUAAAAAUCAUUGCAAUUUGCUGCUUUGGUGUUCAAGAAAUAUUCCUUAUUAUUUUCAAUGUUUUUGCUGCUUAUAUAUACACACACACACACACACACAUAAUGCUGUUCAUUAUUAAGAGAGUUUUCUCCAUGUAUAACCUCUUAAGAAUAUGCGGUUGUGCUUAAAAAGGGUCUGUUCUUUGAUCUUUUCAACUCUGAACAAAUUUCUGCGGGGGAGAAAAGGCUUCAGAGGUUGUUGAGAUUCUUCAAAGGUGACCUGAUUUUUUCAGUUACUGACCUUCCAAAAACAUUGCUGUACUUGCAAAUGUCAGCAUGUCUAAUUAAGUCAGCAUUAAUGUUUUGGGGUCACUGCACUUCAGCAGAGAAAGAAUAUGAUAUUCCAGAAGUGUGUGAACAGCGUUACCACAGGCCAUCAAUGCAGAGACUCAGCAAUCAUAAGCUGAGUGAGAUGUGACAUCUCAGUAAACAUUGCUGUACUUGCAAAUGUCAGCAUGUCUAAUUAAGUCAGCAUUAAUGUUUUGGGUCACUGCACUUCAGCAGAGAAAGAAUAUGAUAUUCCAGAAGUGUGUGAACAGCGUUACCACAGGCCAUCAAUGCAGAGACUCAGCAAUCAUAAGCUGAGUGAGAUGUGACAUCUCAGUAAAGUCGAGUUGAAUACUUCCAUCAUAACUCAAGAGACUUCAAAGCAGAUAACAGACUUCCAGCUAAUUAUGUAAACACACUCUCACAAGUGUUCAAACACAUUAGAAAAGUAGACAUGUCACAUAAUUGCCAGUGCAUUUUGGGGGCAUACUAAGGUGUGUCAUCACCUAGCAAGGAAUCGAGACUAAAAGGUGUUUAAUUAGUCCCAAGGGAGAAGACAGAGAGCGUCUUGGAGUCUGGUUUAGUCCCACAAUGCUCAACCAAUCUACAGAGGAAAGAGGAUCUGUAAUGAAAAAUAACACAAUUAACUUCAUCUUUUCAUUGCAGAGGCUUAUAAAAGCCUUUGUGAUGUCAGAAAUAAAUUUGAUACAACAUUUGAUAAACAAGUGUCAUCUGUUCCAUUGCACGCCUGUUUUCAUUACAAUUAAUGCUUGUCGCAAAGCUCAUGCUGUGUCUGUAAUUGCUCACUCAUUGACAAUUCACUACAGAAAAUAGUGUCAUAUAACUAAAGAGCAAGCUAAGCGUGACAGGACAGAAAAAUACAUAAAUACAAUGUAUUCUUGAACAUAUAGAUGUUCCGAAAUAAUAUAAUAUAAUAUAAUAUAAUAUAAUAUAAUAUAAUAUAAUAUAAUAUAAUAUAAUAUAAUAUAAUAUAAUAUAAUAUAAUAUAAUAUAAUAUAAUAUAAUAUAAUUUGUAACUUUCUUAAUAUAAGAAUG